CCUACGGGAGGCAGCAGUGGGGAAUAUUGGACAAUGGGGGGAACCCUGAUCCAGCCAUGCCGCGUGUGUGAAGCAGGCCCUCGGGGUGUAAAGCACUUUCAGUGAGGAAGAACGCCUGGUGGUUAAUACCCAUCAGGAAAGACAUCACUCACAGCAGAAGCACCGGCUAACUCCGUGCCAGCAGCCGCGGUAAUACGGAGGGUGCGAGCGUUAAUCGGAAUUACUGGGCGUAAAGCGCGCGUAGGUGGCUUUAUAAGCCGGUUGUGAAAGCCCCGGGCUCAACCUGGGAACGGCAUCCGGAACUGUCAAGCUAGAGUGCAGGAGAGGAAGGUAGAAUUCCCGGUGUAGCGGUGAAAUGCGUAGAGAUCGGGAGGAAUACCAGUGGCGAAGGCGGCCUUCUGGACUGACACUGACACUGAGGUGCGAAAGCGUGGGUAGCAAACAGGAUUAGAUACCCUAGUAGUC
rnacentral:rRNA from 1 species